rnacentral:sRNA from 1 species
UAGCUCACAUGUUAGCUGAGGAACAACUUCAGGCUGGCCACUUAGAACCUUGGAACAUGUGGAACACACCCAUCUUUGUAAUUAAGAAAAAUCUGGCAACUGGAGAUUAUUACAAGAUAUUUGGGCUAUUAAUUGUGUUAUAGAGCCCAUGGAAGCCUGACAAUCAAUACUGACUUCUUCUACAACUAUUCCUUUAGAUUAUCAUUUGAUAGUAGGAGAUUUAAAAGAUUCUUUCUUUUCUAUACCUUUGCACCGAGAUGACUAUAAAAGGUUUACCUUUAG